rnacentral:rRNA from 1 species
UACGUAGGCAGCGAGCGUUGUUCGGAGUUACUGGGCGUAAAGCGUGCGUAGGCGGCGGCCCAAGUCUGGUGUGAAAUCUCCCGGCUUAACCGGGAGGGUGCGCUAGAAACUGGGUUGCUGGAGUACCGGAGAGGCAGGCGGAAUUCCUGGUGUAGCGGUGAAAUGCGUAGAUAUCGGGAGGAACACCAGUGGCGAAGGCGACUACCUGGCCUGUUCUUGACGCUGAGGCGCGAAAGCUAGGGGAGCAAACGGG